CCCUGUAGGUUGCGCUGUAGUCAAUUUAUUUGUGCUCCACAUAUCAACCGAACCGAGUGAACCGGAAAAAGUUUAACACAUUACAGGGCUAAAAUUUGAAAACAAAUACUUGGAAAGGCGGAACGAAGUCCGCCGGGUCAGCUAGUAAUUUAUAUAUAUAUAUAUUCAUUAUAAUGGACUGGCUUUUACAUUUCCAUUUAAACAUUCAGAUUCAUGGCGUGCAUAUCCAUACCAUUACGCGUGGUUGCCUUUUAGUGAAGAAACCAAACAACUUGUCCUUCCUUCGUUAUCCGAUAUGAAUUUUGUAGAGGAACUGUGCAAUGUAUUAGUUUAAGCAAGACAAAGGAUUCGAUAGAAAAUUGUAUUAACGUCAAAUGUCUGUGAUGCGGGGAAAAAUUUUAAAUUUAACUCAAGCCUCAAGGACGGUAAAUCUCCCGUUCAACUAGUCCAAAUGCCAGCAGUGGUCAUUGAAAAAAGUGAACCGAAAAGCAGAUUAACCUCGUUUACCCAGCGCUUCCAAUAAAAAAGCCCAUUUUUUUCAUGGUGCUAACGAGAAGGCCAAGUCAAGUAAUGAUACGUUUAAAUUUUUUGUUUUGUAAAUAUAGGUGAAUAUUUAAUUUAUUGAAUAAAGUUAAUCAGAAGUUAACACGGAAAAUUAAAUUUGAUUGUCAGCUAAAAAUUCAUUCAGAGUUUAUUUUGAUUAGUUUUAUGUUUUCUUUUGAAAAUGAAGACAGAUUAAUAUGGGAACCAUCACAAGUAAGCGAACAUG